rnacentral:rRNA from 1 species
UAUGUAGGCAGCGAGCGUUGUUCGGAGUUACUGGGCGUAAAGAGUGCGUAGGCGGUUUUCUAAGUUUGGUGUGAAAUCUCCCGGCUUAACUGGGAGGGUGCGCCGAAGACUGGAAGGCUUGAGUAUGGGAGAGGUAAGCGGAAUUCCUGGUGUAGCGGUGAAAUGCGUAGAUAUCAGGAGGAACACCUGCGGUGUAGACGGCUUACUGGACCAUAACUGACGCUGAGGCACGAAAGCGUGGGUAGCAAACAGG